CCCAGCAUGGCAUAGUGGUUUGAGUGUUGGACUAGGACUCUGGAGACCAGGGUUCGAUUCCCAGCUCAGCCA